rnacentral:rRNA from 1 species
ACGCUGGCGGCGUGCUUAACACAUGCAAGUCGAACGAUGAUCCCAGCUUGCUGGGGGAUUAGUGGCGAACGGGUGAGUAACACGUGAGUAACCUGCCCUUGACUCUGGGAUAAGCCUGGGAAACUGGGUCUAAUACCGGAUACGACCAUCUGGCGCAUGUCAUGGUGGUGGAAAGCUUUUGUGGUUUUGGAUGGACUCGCGGCCUAUCAGCUUGUUGGUGGGGUAAUGGCCUACCAAGGCGACGACGGGUAGCCGGCCUGAGAGGGUGACCGGCCACACUGGGACUGAGACACGGCCCAGACUCCUACGGGAGGCAGCAGUGGGGAAUAUUGCACAAUGGGCGCAAGCCUGAUGCAGCGACGCCGCGUGAGGGAUGACGGCCUUCGGGUUGUAAACCUCUUUCAGUAGGGAAGAAGCGAAAGUGACGGUACCUGCAGAAGAAGCGCCGGCUAACUACGUGCCAGCAGCCGCGGUAAUACGUAGGGCGCAAGCGUUAUCCGGAAUUAUUGGGCGUAAAGAGCUCGUAGGCGGUUUGUCGCGUCUGCUGUGAAAGACCGGGGCUCAACUCCGGUUCUGCAGUGGGUACGGGCAGACUAGAGUGCAGUAGGGGAGACUGGAAUUCCUGGUGUAGCGGUGAAAUGCGCAGAUAUCAGGAGGAACACCGAUGGCGAAGGCAGGUCUCUGGGCUGUAACUGACGCUGAGGAGCGAAAGCAUGGGGAGCGAACAGGAUUAGAUACCCUGGUAGUCCAUGCCGUAAACGUUGGGCACUAGGUGUGGGGGACAUUCCACGUUUUCCGCGCCGUAGCUAACGCAUUAAGUGCCCCGCCUGGGGAGUACGGCCGCAAGGCUAAAACUCAAAGGAAUUGACGGGGGCCCGCACAAGCGGCGGAGCAUGCGGAUUAAUUCGAUGCAACGCGAAGAACCUUACCAAGGCUUGACAUGAACCGGAAAGACCUGGAAACAGGUGCCCCGCU